rnacentral:rRNA from 1 species
AACGUAGGUACCGAGCGUUAUCCGGAUUUACUGGGCGUAAAGCGUGUUCAGGCGGCCUGGCAAGUCGGGCAUGAAAUCUCUCGGCUCAACCGGGAGAGGCUGUCCGAUACUGCUGGGCUUGAGGACGGUAGAGGGUGGUGGAGUUCCGCGUGUAGUGGUGAAAUGCGUAGAUAUGCGGAGGAACACCAGUGGCGAAGGCGGCCACCUGGACCGUCCCUGACGCUCAAACACGAAAGCUAGGGUAGCGAACGGG